UAACACGUAGGGAGCAAGCGUUGUCCGGAUUUAUUGGGCGUAAAGAGCUCGUAGGCGGUUUAGUAAGUCGGGUGUGAAAACUUGAGGCUCAACCUCAAGAGGCCACUCGAUACUGCUGUGACUGGAGUCCGGUAGAGGAGUGUGGAAUUCCUGGUGUAGCGGUGAAAUGCGCAGAUAUCAGGAGGAACACCGACAGCGAAGGCAGCACUCUGGGCCGGUACUGACGCUGAGGAGCGAAAGCAUGGGGAGCGAACAGGAUUAGAUACCCUGGUAGUCCAUGCCGUAAACGUUGGGCACUAGGUGUGGGGUCUAGCUAACAGAUUCCGUGCCGCAGCUAACGCAUUAAGUGCCCCGCCUGGGGAGUACGGCCGCAAGGCUA
rnacentral:rRNA from 1 species